rnacentral:lncRNA from 1 species
GGCUGAAAUGGUUUGGGUUUGGUGAAAGGAGUAAACUUAGCCCCUAUUUUACGGCCAAUUUUGUGGAAAAACAUUGUUUUAAACAGUGAUUUUUUGAAGAAUACAUUAUUAAAAGUAAGAAAAUAUUUUGAGUUUAUAUGCUAGAAGAUUUUAGUGUGCCAAUGUCCCCAAUUUUCACUCUCAAACCCUAAUCAUUUUCAUCUUCUCAUCUAUUUUUCUAUCUGAAUCCCGCUAUACGUGCACGCCUGUUUACUUGCAGGUUUACACGGUGACGUGGCAAAGAAAAUAACUUAAUGGGUCAAGUGUCUUGAACCGGCCCAAAUUGAAGAAACCUUCGCAUUAUUCCACUUUCAGUUGCCCCAAAUGCAGAAAACCCUCUUUAAUGAAUCGACUAAUGCGAGGAGAUCUGAGGCUGCACUCUACAAUAUUGAGAAGAUGAUGCUUAAUCUAGUGAUCAUCUCUAUGAUUUUGUUUUCCACACUAAGUUAAUUGCACGGUCGUGAGAAAUUUUUUUAUAGCCGCAAGAUUGAAGCCCUCUGUACGCAGCAAAAUUGCCCGUCGUUGAUGCCUUCUUCUCCGACGGAAUCUUGAGCAAAUAUUAUGUAAGUAUGAUAUUUGGUCGUUGUGUUUUACUGUGGUGAAGUAAUUUUAGCUUUAAGGAAUGGAAAAAUCUCACCCUCAUCUCUACUUCUUUGAAGAACCCGA